ACUUGGGGCGGGCAGGAAGGCGCGCCUCCGCAGACUGGGCCGGGAGGGGGAGGGUGCGAGCGGGAGGGACGGUUAAGCCGGGUGUCUCCUCCAAAGCCGCCCGGCCGGCAAACGAGGCCUCGCUGAAGAAAGGUUCUACUGCGCCAAGUUGGCCCAUCCCCAAUUCGGGCCUGAAUGUCCUCGUUGCCCUUGACGCCUGGAGCCUCCUCCUCGCCCCCACGCGGCCCAGGGGCUCCCUAGCAGGGAGAGGGACAGAGUCGGGGAGUUGAGGCGAUACCACCGGUGGGCUAGGGGGCCCGCCCGGUUUUACCAUAGAUGGUGCGGGACUCCUCUCUGCCCUGAUUGGGGACCCAGGGAAGGGGGAUUGCACGCACCCGACAGGGUCCGUUUUAAGAAAAGGGUGGCGUCUCUGAGUCCCCGAAACGUGAGAGGACUUGGGAGCUGGCACCAGGCUCGGAGACAAGAUUGGAAUUCCGGCCUAUCCUUCCAGGAGAGGGGGAUUAAGUGAGGAGGGGUAGGGGAGCUGCUCCCGCGGUGGAAAGGGACGAGGUGUCUGGAAGGAAGGCGAGGACUGUAUUCAGACCGACCAGGACUCUGAUCCAGAGUCUGACAGAACCUCCGUCUUCUCACAUACCUCUCAGGAUUGUUCAGAUUUGAAAAGCUCAUUUAUCUGACGAAUACUAGAGAUCUACGCGCCAGGUUCUGCUUGGCACUAGAGAUUCAGUGAUAGACACAGUGCCUUCCCUUCUGGGGCUUGUGUUGUUGUGGGGAAGACAGACAAUGAACGAGUAAGCGAAUACUAGAGGAGACUGGUUGAGUCAGUAUCACUCAUGGGGGUGAGGGGGGGGGGGGGGGGGGCCAAUUCGUUUGAGUGGUCAGACAAGUCCUCCAUGACAGGUAGAAACAAAGGGUAUUCUGGGCAAAGGGGAAAGCUAGUACCAAAGCCCUGAAGAGGUCAUAGUCUUCGUGAGCUCAGACACAAAGGUCUGUGUGGCUGCAUCAGAAUGGGCCCGAGGAAGAAUGAUGGGAGGUGGAGUCAGCGGGGUGCAGGUCACCCAUGGCGAACUGUUUAAAUUCGACUCUUAGGUGUGAUGGGGCAUUUGAACAGUUUUAAACAAGAAAGUGACAAGGGUUGGCAUGAUGGCAACAUGCAAGCUCCUUCACCCAGCCUGGUCCUGCAGAGGAGUGCAGCCCAGACCUGUGUGCUCCCGCCAGCCGCCAACGACGGUGCCACACCCUGGCCGAGUCUGGAGAGAGUCCGGCCAGUCGUCUCGCCUUCCUAAGGCCCGCUGCCCAAACCAGGCAGACAGGCAACUCCCAACGGUACCGUCGCCUCUGUGGGGCGCCAGUUGCGCUCCGUCCCUGGGUAGGAAUAUGGACAAGAGACCCCGGCACUGCCAGCCCCGGGAAUGGAUGGCCCCCACCGCACCCCGCCCUGCCCCUCCCCACGACCCUGCCCAGGACCCUUCGCCCUUGGCGAAGGUGGCAGCAGUCACAGCAGGGCUACCGCUAUGGCCACAAACCAUGAAGCUGGCUCUAUGCAGGGAUCACAAGCGUUGGUGGCAAAAUCUCACGUAGUGCUGUCCAGUGGAAAAACAAUAUGAGCCACAUAGUACGUCAUUUCAAAAUUUCUAGUAACCACAUGAAAAAGGAAAAGGAGGGGCGACUGGGUGGCUCAGUCCGUUGAGCCACCGACUUCGGCUCAGGUCAUGAUCUCGCAGUUCACGAGUUCGAGCCCUGCUCUAUGCUGACAGCUCAGAGCCUCGGAUUCUGCGUCUCCCUCUCCCACUGCCCGCCUCGCUCACGUGCUCUCUUUCCUUCUCUCUCAAAAAUAAAUAAACAUAAAAAAAGUAAAAGGAAACAGAUGAAAUUAAUUUCAAUAGUACAUUUUAUUUAGCAUAUCUAAAACAUAAUAAUUUCCGCAGGUAAUCACUGUGAACAAUUAUUAACAGGCACUCAACUUUUUUUUUUUUAUACCAAGUCCUCAAACUUCAGAGCUAUUUUACACUUAGGGCACAUCGCAUUCCAAGCACUCA